CUACUGCUGGUGUCGGGGGGUCUACCUGGGCCCCCAUCAGUGGCGGUUCUACACGGAGGCCUGGGGUGGCCCGUGCCCCUGUAGACAUAUCCCUGGCCACCCCGUGCCGACCAAAUAAAAAAAUAUGAAUUUAUUAUGAUUUUUACACCCGAGCGCCAAAAGCAGAACUAAUACGACGCAACGUUCUACACGGGUAAAUUGUAGUGUGGUGCUCGUCGUCGAGUGAGAGCUCAGCAACUACUAUUCAUGGAUACCAUGUGACGUCACUGUGUCUAAGCGCCGCCAUAUUUGUGUCCAACACGGACACAGUAGACUAGCUGUGCGUCGGUCACCCACAGAAAGUUCAAAUGCCCGGGAUAUGUUUUGCUGUUGGAUGCGACAACUGUCACCAAAGAAACCCAGAUAUACAAUUUCUUUAUAUUCCAAAAGAUUUAGGGAAUGACUGACCUGUUAAGUGAAAUGUAGCACGUUGAUACAAUCGUGAAUAAUUACUGUGUCUUAUUAAAGCUAAACUCUCCUGAGCAAGCUAGAGUGCUAAUAGCUAGCGAGCUGUUUUGCCCUUUCCUAAAGGCUUUAGCUACAACUCGUCAGCCCAUAUUGGCACUCUUAACCACCACUAAAAUAACACGGUUGAUAAUCGCUGUUUUAAUUACUUACAUGACCUGUGAUCACAUACAUAUUUUUUGUCUCCAGAUGCCAUAUCUUGGUUUCGUUCACCCAUCCUGCAACUGCAUAUUGAUAGGCAUUUGUACUCUUGAAAUUUCAGGUGUUUGGGGAUGGAUUAUGUACAAGAUAAAUGUAAAUGUCGGGAAAAGAAAGUUGGGGCAGACGCUUUGCAGACUUUAAGGGACAAAAUAAAGUUGAAGUUAAUAAAUAUGGAUCGCAGCCAAUAAUCAAUGCCUUUUCCAAAUAUCGCUGUCCUUCUGUCUCAUUUAGAUGUGCUAUCAGCUACAGCUCGCUAGCUUGCUCAAGAGAGUUUAGGUUUGAUAAGACACAAUAAUUAUUCACGAUUGUAUCAACGCCAAAAAAAAAAUCCUAAAGGAGACAUCAUAAAAAGCACAUGCUUAGAUUUUAGUGUGAAUAGCAGUGGCGAUUUUAGCCCGAAAUUUCUGGUGGGGCAAUUUUGUAUGACGAUAUGUUUGUUGUCAUGACUGUUGGCCAGCUAACCAACCACUAGAAUAAAAAAAAUGUCUAAAUUUGAAGAAACUAUAAACAGAAAACAAUACUAUUAUAAUAUUAUUAUUAUAUUAUUACUAUAUAGUAUUAUAUAUGACUACCUAGCUACUAUUGGUUAAAAAAAAAAUCUUAUAAUUUUGAUGUGCCCCUCUGGUUAAACACUGGCCCCUCCUUGGCCCCCCUAGUAAAAAUUGUCUAGAACCGCCACUGGCCCCCAUCACUCCUCCUCCGGGGAGAUCGCCGUCAUCAGCUUAGUGCAUGCUGGGAGCGAGUGACAGACGCCCCUGCGGAUGGCCCUGCCAUGUUGGACCCCCUCGCGCUUCCGGCUGGUGGACCGGCCGUGGGUGGGUCUGUUGUGGUUGAGCCUGUCGCGAUUGACCUUGCCGUGAAGGAGACUGUUGUGGCAGGUUGUGAUGUGGACCCGGCCGUCGCUGACCCUGCAGACCCGGCCGUCGCUGACCCUGCAGACCCGGCCGUCGCAGACCCAGCCGACGCUCACCCAGCCGGUGCGUACCCCACAGCCAGCGCUGCGGACCCGGACCCCGCAGCCAGCGCUGCCGACCCGGACCCCGCAGCCAGCGCUGCCGACCCGGACCCCGCAGCCACUGCUGCCGACCCGGACCCCGCAGCCACCGCUGCCGACCCACACCCCGCAGCUGACCCGGACCCUGCUGCCACAGCUGCCGACCAAGAUCCCCCAGGAUCCGUUUCCGAUGCAGGCCCAGCAGCACCCUCUGCCGACACCGGUCCAGCAGCACCUCCUGAUGGCGUCGCUGCUGAUGGCUCUGCUGCCCCUGUCCCGAGCGCCCCUGUCCCGAGCGUCCCAGGCGCCCCUGUCCUGAGCGUCUCAGGCGCCCCUGUCCCGAGCGUCUCAGGCGCCCCUGUCCCAAGCAUCCAAGGUGUCCCUGCGCCGGUCCCAGGCGUCCCUGCGCCGGCCCCAGGCGCUCCUGCUCUGCCCGUUUGGCCACCCACCCGGCCGGCCGCCAAAGACUCUGCCCCUGUUAGGCCACCCACCCGGCCGGCCGCCAAAGACUCUGCCCCUAUUUGGCCACCCACACGGCCAGCCACCAGAUACUCUGCCCCUACUUGGCCACUGGUCCUGCCGGCCACCAGACAUUCUGCCCUUGCUUGGCCGUCCACCCGGUCGGCCACCAGACCCUUGGGUUCUAUCCAGCCUUCUGUCUGGCCCGGCCUACCCUACCUAGCCUUGCUCUGGACCCCCUCCACCCACCCUAAGUGGAUUUGAUCUGUUUUUUUUUUUUUCUGGAAUCCGGCCCUUAGAGGGGGGGUACUGUAAGGUCUGUGUUCUGUCCGUGUUUAAUUUCUGAGUUUGUCUCCCUUGUGUUGUCACAUGUUUGUUCCCUUGUCUAGUCCUCGUGCUUCCUUGUUCCCGCCAUGUGCUUUCCUAUGUUUGUUUGUCUAUGCCAUGUGCCCUCUUGUUGUUCGUGUCUCCACCCCUCACCUGUUCCCAAUCACCCGGUUUGUUUGUAUUAUUGGUUUCUCCUGUGUCCUGUUAAUUCCCCUUGUUUAGUCCACCUGUGUCAUUGUCUGCCCCGCCUUGAUUGUUCUCACCUGUCCCUCGUUAUAUGUUGCCUGUGUGUAUAUAUAGUCCUUGUAUUCUUGUUUCUCGUUGCGUCUUUGUAGUUAUAUGUUACCUGGUAUGUUCAUUGUUUUUCCCGCUGUUCCUCGUGUUUCCAGCGCUUCCUCCUGGUUAAUGUGAUUUACUCGUGCUUCUGACCUCUGCCUGUACAACGACUAUUCUCCUGCCUAUUCCCUGUUUGGAUUUGUUUGCUACUCUUGGACUGCCUACCUGUGUACCGAACCCG
ensembl:lncRNA